UGUCAUCCCUACCCUUCAUCCCUUCCAUGGGAGACCCACGCCAGGAAUGCCGCCAUGCCCUACAGGACAGAAAUCCGGAGAUUUGGGCUGCUUGCAACUUCAUUGGAUCGUUUCGAUCCCUCGAUAAUCCAUGGCUCUGUUGGUUCCUCCACCCUUCUACUCCACCCUGACCAUUUCCCCACAAAACCCUAACGCUGAACCCCUCCGGAUACGCAGAGGAGCCCGUCCUCGCAGGAGAAGUGGAGCCCCGGUCGUGGCGGAUUCGCGCAAUCCUCCCCAGAAGCCCACGAGAUUGGUCACAUUUUUGGGCAAAGGCGGUUCAGGAAAGACCACCGCCGCGGUGCUUGCCGCCCAGUAUUAUGCAAUGGAAGGGUUGAAGACAUGCUUACUAGUACAUUCUCAAGACCCGACUGUUGAGAAGCUGAUGGGUUGCAGGAUUGGAAGUUCUCCACGAGUGUGUGAUAAUAAUGUUUCUGUUGUUAGGUUGGAAACAAGCAAGAUGCUUCUGGAGCCUCUUGAUCGAAUGAAGAAAGUAGAUGCCCGUCUGAAUUUGACUCAAGGAGUCCUUGAAGGGGUUGUGGGUGAAGAACUCGGGGUUCUUCCUGGGAUGGACUCUAUUUUCUCUGCCUUGACACUUCAGAAGAUGGUGAAUUUUGUUCCUGGCGAGAGAAAUCUCUCACAAAGAGAGUUUGAUGUGAUCGUGUAUGAUGGCAUGAGCACCGAGGAGACGUUAAGGUUGAUUAGUACCACAGAUAGAGCAAGAUGGUAUUUGAAGUAUAUGAGAAACAUGGCUGAGAAGACAGACAUCGGAAGAUUGACAGCACCUUCUUUAUUGAAACUAGCAUAUGAAUCUAUAAGGUUAUAUGGUGGAUCCAUUGAAGACAAAACAAGUGCAGAAAUUUGGGAUGACAUUGAACGGGUUCUAGAGAAAUCCUCAGUUUCAUUCACUGAUUCAUCAAAGUUUGGUUGUUACCUUGUUAUGGAUACAAGCAGAUCAACAUCUGUUGAUGCUGCAUUGCGUUAUUGGGGUUGUGCAAUUCAAGCUGGAACACACAUAUGUGGAGUAUUAGGGUUUGAUCCAACAUCUUCAGUUGUGACAGAAUCGAUAAUCCAAAAGUUCUUGCCUUUACCCUUUGGGUGUCUGCCGUAUAUCUCCUCAGAGGAAUGUGUAGAUCUGAAAGCCAUGAUAGAAUCUUUAAACAAAGACACCAAAGAUCUGUUUCGGACUUCGAGCCGCUGUUCUGAAUCAUCUGUUAUUUUUGACCCUAGCCAGAAGUCGGUGACCCUCUUCAUGCCAGGUUUUGAUAAGGCUGAGAUAAAAUUAUACCAAUAUCGGGGAGGGUCAGAGCUAUUGGUGGAAGCUGGGGACCAGAGACGCGUAAUCAAAUUGCCUUCUUCCAUGCAGGGAAAGGUAGGAGGUGCCAAAUUCAUCGACAGGAACCUUGUGGUUACACUCAAAUAAAUCUUGAGCAGGUGUCUGUAAUCAUGCCUUCCAUUUCCAUUGUAUCAGUCGCUGGCUCAAGACUCAUCAAAUAACAGUGAGUGGGAGUUUCAGAAGUAAGGUCAGUAGAUCAGAUGGUUCCUCCAUCAAGCUUGGAUCCUGCUUUAGUAACCAUCUUGAUGGAAAUCUCUAUGUGCUUUGUUGCAUUUAUGUGGAUUAUUUUUCUAUGUUUGUUACUGUGGUCAAGUUUGCACUUCGGAUUAACUCGCCCCCAUUGAAAAAUUUCUAUAUCAGCUGAACUCAUUGC